AUUGAACGCUGGCGGCAGGCCUAACACAUGCAAGUCGAACGGCAGCGGGGGAUAGCUUGCUAUCCUGCCGGCGAGUGGCGGACGGGUGAGUAAUGCAUGGGGAGCUGCCCAGUCGAGGGGGAUAACAACUGGAAACGGUUGCUAAUACCGCAUACGCCCUACGGGGGAAAGGUGGGGAACUUCGGUCCUACCGCGAUUGGAUGCGCCCAUGUGGGAUUAGCUAGUUGGUGAGGUAACGGCUCACCAAGGCGACGAUCUCUAGCUGGUCUGAGAGGAUGACCAGCCACACUGGAACUGAGACACGGUCCAGACUCCUACGGGAGGCAGCAGUGGGGAAUAUUGCACAAUGGGGGAAACCCUGAUGCAGCCAUGCCGCGUGUGUGAAGAGGGCCUUCGGGUUGUAAAGCACUUUCAGUCAGGAGGAAGGGGUGAUGGCUAAUAUCCAUCAUCAUUGACGUUACUGACAGAAGAAGCACCGACUAACUCCGUGCCAGCCGCCGCGGUAA
rnacentral:rRNA from 1 species